rnacentral:rRNA from 1 species
UUCGCAAUGCCCGAAAGGGUGACGAAGCGACGCCGCGUGUGGGAAGAAGGCCUUCGGGUUGUAAACCACUGUCGGGAGUUAAGAAAUGCAAGGAUAUGAAUAGUGUCUUUGCUUGACUAAGGCUCCGGAGGAAGCCACGGCUAACUCUGUGCCAGCAGCCGCGGUAAUACAGAGGCCUCAAGCGUUAUCCGGAUUUAUUGGGCGUAAAGAGCAUGUAGGCGGAUAUGUUAGUCAGAUGUCAAAUCUUCGAGCUCAACUCGGAAACUGCAUUUGAAACGGCAUAUCUAGAGACGGUCAGGGACCAAUGGAACGUAUGGUGUAGCAGUGAAAUGCGUUGAUAUCAUACGGAACACCAAAGGCGAAGGCAUUUGGUUGGGGCCGUUCUGACGCUGAGUAUGCGAAAGCUAGGGGAGCAAACGGGAUUAGAUACCCCGGUAGUCCUAGCCGUAAACGAUGGGCACUAAGUAGAGGGGUUUU